AAAUAUGAAGCAAUAAUUGCAAUUAGUUUCGACCUAAUUAUUGAUAAAUACAAUUUAUCCAUAUUUA
rnacentral:tRNA from 1 species